rnacentral:rRNA from 1 species
GAUGAACGCUGGCGGCGUGCCUAAUACAUGCAAGUCGAGCGGAAGGACGCGACUCUUGCUUCUCUGUUGUUAGCGGCGGGGGGGUGAGUAACACGUGGAUACCCUACCUAUAAGACUGGGAUAACUUCGGGAAACGGUAGCUAAUACGGGAUAAUAUUUUGAACCGCAUGGUUCAAAAGUGAAAGACGGUCUUGCUGUCACUUAUAGAUGGAUCCGCGCUGCUUUGGCUAGUUGGUACGGUCACGGAUUACGAAGGCAAGGAUGCAUAGCCGACAUGAGAGGGUGGUCGGCCACACUGGGAGUGUGACACGGCCCAGACUGCUACGGGAAGGAGCAGUAGGGCAACGUGCGCAAGGGGCGGAAGCUUUACGAAGCAACGCCGAGGGCGUGUGGAAGGACUCCGGGUCGUAAAACACGGUUAUUAGGUAAGAACAUACGUGUAAGUAAGAGUGAGCAUCAGUACGGGACCUAAGCAGAAAGCCACGGCCAACUUAGUGC